UACCAGCACCCCGAGUGGUCGGGACGUUUAUUGGGCCUAAAGCAUCCGUAGCCGGUUCUACAAGUCUUCCGUUAAAUCCAUCUGCUUAACAGAUGGGCUGCGGAAGAUACUAUAGAGCUAGGAGGCGGGAGAGGCAAGCGGUACUCGAUGGGUAGGGGUAAAAUCCGUUGAUCCAUUGAAGACCACCGGUGGCGAAGGCGGCUUGCCAGAAUGCGCUCGACGGUGAGGGAUGAAAGCUGGGGGAGCAAACCGG
rnacentral:rRNA from 1 species